rnacentral:tRNA from 1 species
GGAGGGUUGGCCGAGCGGGAAGGCAGCGGCUUGCUAAGCCGUCGUCAGGGUCGCCCCCUGCGCGAGUUCGAAUCUCGCACCCUCCG